CCUACGGGUGGCUGCAGUGAGGAAUAUUGGUCAAUGGACGAGAGUCUGAACCAGCCAAGUAGCGUGAAGGAUGACUGCCCUAUGGGUUGUAAACUUCUUUUAUAAAGGAAUAAAACGAGGCACGUGUGCCUUUUUGUAUGUACUUUAUGAAUAAGGAUCGGCUAACUCCGUGCCAGCAGCCGCGGUAAUACGGAGGAUCCGAGCGUUAUCCGGAUUUAUUGGGGUUAAAGGGAGCGUAGAUGGGUUGUUAAGUCAGUGGUGAAAGUUUGGGGCUCAACCGUAAGAUUGCAAUUGAUACUGGCAGUCUAGAGUACAGUUGAGGUAGGCGGAAUUCGUGGUGUAGCGGUGAAAUGCUUAGAUAUCACGAAGAACUCCGAUUGCGAAGGCAGCUUACUAAACUGCCACUGACAUUGAGGCUCGAAAGUGUGGGUAGCAAACAGGAUUAGAUACCCUAGUAGUC
rnacentral:rRNA from 1 species